rnacentral:rRNA from 1 species
GACGAACGCUGGCGGCGUGCUUAACACAUGCAAGUCGAACGGUAAGGCCCUUCGGGGUACACGAGUGGCGAACGGGUGAGUAACACAUGGGUGAUCUGCCCUGCACUUCGGGAUAAGCCUGGGAAGCUGGGUCUAAUACCGGAUAGGACCACUGCCUGCAUGGGUGGUGGUGGAAAGCUUUUGCGGUGUGGGAUGGGCCCGCGGCCUAUCAGCUUGUUGGUGGGGUGAUGGCCUACCAAGGCGACGACGGGUAGCCGGCCUGAGAGGGUGACCGGCCACACUGGGACUGAGAUACGGCCCAGACUCCUACGGGAGGCAGCAGUGGGUAAUAUUGCACAAUGGGCGAAAGCCUGAUGCAGCGACGCCGCGUGAGGGAUGACGGCCUUCGGGUUGUAAACCUCUUUCAGCACCGACGAAGCGCAAGUGACGGUAGGUGCAGAAGAAGGACCGGCCAACUACGUGCCAGCCGCCGCCGUAA